rnacentral:misc_RNA from 1 species
CGUAGGUGAACCUGCGGAAGGAUCAUUAACAAAUCCUAGCCGUUGUCGUCUGCGUGCGGCGAUGGUAAAACACCGUGCACUGGCAAUCGGAGACGGGAGAGUCUCCGCUCGGUUUUUAGGAGGUGUGCGGCUGGCAUUGAAUGGGGUGACGCACUUAAAUCGGUGGAAGCCAAUCCACACCGUCCACCGGGCCUCGAACCGAGUUCUCCCGUCUUUGGUUCUUUCUGUUAAACUUUUUGUGACUUUGUUGUAUUCUUGGUAUGUUGUGUUGGUUGUAAAAGUUUUGACAACUUCUGACGGUGGAUCUCUUGGCUCGUGCAUCGAUGAAGAACGCAGCAAGCUGCGAUAUCUAGUGUGAAUUGCAGAAUUCAGUGAAUCAUCGAGUCUUUGAACGCAAAUGGCGCUCCCGGGGUCUCCUCGGGAGCAGGUCUGUCCGAGCGUCUGCCACCUUGAAAGGCCGUCUCCGUGCAGGUGACGGGAUUGAGGAGCUGCACGCUAGCAAGGUUGUAUUGUGUUGUGGUGCACUCCUUGAAGAAGGCAAGUCUGUGUUGUGAAUGUUGGGCCUCGACGGUGUCACCACGAGACAGUCGUCACAACAUUGUGGCAAGUUGUGUCGCUGCUUCUUGUGGGGCACGCCGUUGGUCCACUUUGGCCAACCAGUGUCAGGAAACG